rnacentral:rRNA from 1 species
AUUGAACGCUAGCGGGAUGCCUUACACAUGCAAGUCGAACGGCAGCGCGGACUUCGGUCUGGCGGCGAGUGGCGAACGGGUGAGUAAUGUAUCGGAACGUGCCCAGUAGCGGGGGAUAACUACUCGAAAGAGUAGCUAAUACCGCAUACGCCCUACGGGGGAAAGGGGGGGCUGGCAAGACCUCUCACUACUGGCGCAGACGAUAUCGGAUUAGCUAGUUGGGGAGGUAAAGGCUCACCAAGGCGACGAUCCGUAGCUGGUUUGAGAGGACGACCAGCCACACUGGGACUGAGACACGGCCCAGACUCCUACGGGAGGCAGCAGUGGGGAAUUUUGGACAAUGGGGGCAACCCUGAUCCAGCCAUUCCGCGUGUGCGAUGAAGGCCUUCGGGUUGUAAAGCACUUUUGGCAGGAAAGAAAUCGCACGGAUUAAUACUCUGUGUGGAUGACGGUACCUGCAGAAUAAGCACCGGCUAACUACGUGCCAGCCGCCGCCGUAA